AAUCUUGAAACUGAAGUCUGUUUCAAAAUACGACAAUUCGCUACAAAGAUAGACUGGUUCAAAGUUCGAAAAAUCGGCCAUUUUGUUACUAAAAAAGAACAAAAUGGCGGAUUCGUACUUCGAAACAGGCUUCAGUUUCAAGAUU